ensembl:lncRNA
GUAGGUCACCACAAUUUUAAGACCAGAUUUUUAAUUCUCCUGUAUGAAAGGUACUGAAGGAUAACUGCAGACACAUCUAUCCACUUAGGUAUCUGAAAACUGUUGCUAAAGCUCCGUAGAAAAUCAGGUCCUCAUUGUUUUAUGUGUCUCCUUUGUUAGUUACAAGGAUCAGAUUUCUUUUGCUAUCCCACAGUGCUAAUAUGUGAUGCUGUGUUUAUUUUCCAGGUCAAGUAGUUUCAUGCACUGGAAAUUUAACUUUGAAGAAAUAAUAUGAGAGAAAAAAAAAAAAAGAAAAAAAAAAAGGAUAAUCUUAAAUCUACCAAGUUUAAAGGGAAGAGAAAAAAGUUGUGUUCACAUGAUUAACUGUCAUAAGCACAGUACAUACCAUCAGAGGUGCCAAAGCCCAACUUGAAAGGUUUUAAAUGUUUCAAGCUGUGCAAGCAUGCGUUUCUUCAAACAGGCAGAACUGAUUAUGAUGAUCACAGGCAGAACCUUACUUAAACAGAGGAUGUGCAAUUUUUGUAAAUCGUUAUACAGUGAUUACUAACUAUUGAAGUAAAUGGUUCAAAUGUUUAUUAGCAAAGGAAACUUUUUUCUUUUUUUUUUUCCUUCUGUAACCCUGCAAAGGAAAAGGAGUGUUGCAGGUGAUGAAGAAAAUACUUGUCAUCACAAAAAGCUCAUGUUCUUAACUCUUAAAAAAAACUGUUACUGGACUGAACUACACAUGUCAGCUGGAGAAUCCUGGAAGAAGCCCCAUUUUCAAUAAAUGACUUUCAAAGCAAGGAACAUACACAGAGGAGAAUUUAGAGUGGGAAUGAGUUACCCCCCUCUGAAUUAUUGCAUGGUUGUGCUGUUUGAUGUCAAGAGGCCUUUGCACUGCUCUGGAGUAGAUAUACCAGUAUUUUUCCUCCAAGCUCUGUCUCCCCAUCUGGCUCCACACUUGAUUGUGCCUCAGGGCAAGAAGCAGGGUGGUACAAGUACCUACAUGUACAGCUGACACAUGCUUUCAUCAUAUUAUAGACUUCAGUACCUUUUCAUUCUCUGUAUCUGAAAAGUGUAGCAUGAUAUAAAAGGCACAGUAUCAUUAUUUUUAACCAUUUUAUCAUCUAUUUUGCAGUUGGACUUGAUCUUUUUCCAACCUGAACAAUUCUAUGAUUCUACAAUUCUAUGAUGAGUAACAAGAGAUUAACUCAAAUGCUUACAUAUUUAAACUGCUGUUUGAGCAUUUCAAAAUUGAUACUUGCUUGUUCAAGACCUCAUUGCAACAAUUUCAGAAGAGGAUCUUCAGUAUAAAAUACUGAUUUCACUCAUUAUAACACCAGACCAUGACAGAAAUCUCUGACUUAGAUCUGUGCUGAACUUUGGCUUACCUUGAACAAAAUUUAAAUAGCAACAUGUUUUGUUUCCAGAGUAUCUCCAAUUAAUAAAUGCAUUCAUUUGAAAACACUUCACCUCAAGUUCCUCCAGGUCCACCUUUUAAAUAAAGGCCUAUUUUCUCUUCCUGACAUCAUUCGCAGCAAAGACAGAUAGAUUGUGUGCAGAGUUUAUUACAAGAUCGAUCAAGAUAAUUGAGGUAUAAUUUUCUCAGUGAUUUCUGUCAUCAUUUUUAAAGGCAGGGAUGAUUAUGUUUCUCUUUCACCCAUCUGGGAAAACACACAGUGUUCUCAUGUAAUUUGAACAUUUCAGCAAGGAUGUGAGACCAUCUUUUUGGAUGUAACUAAUAGCUCUGCCAUUAGGCCAUCCUCUCUCGAGACUUCAUUUUUCUUAUUAAUAAUCAUCAACACUAUCUCUUGUUCAGAAAAAAAAAAAAAAGAAAAAGAAAAGAAAGAGCCACACCUAAGACUUUUUCUCAUUGGCAUAACAGCCAAUUUCAAAUUUAAGAUGUGGCUUAUGCUUAUGACAAUUCAAAUGCUCCCUAUGAAAUCUCCAGAGAGAAUCCCUUUCUUUUUUCCCCACUUUUUUUUUUUUUUUUUUUAAGAAUGUUUAUUUAAGUUACUUUUGUGGGUUUUUUUUAAGGCUAUUUCAAAACUAAACUCCAAGUCCCCUAAUUUUGCUCAAGUAACCACAUGAAAUUUUCUAAUUUACACCAAUUUUUCCAUGCCAUAAUUUAAGUGAAUUAUUCUUAAUUACAUCUAACCUUUCAGUAGAACAAGAGCCUGACUGUCUACUUUGUUAUUUUUCUCUUGGUCUUUUUUUUUUUUUUUUUUUCCUUGUGUACUAUUCUGUUUUGGUAGCUGUGAUAUCCUCUAUCACAAAAAGCAUUCUGAAAAGCAUCUGAAAUACAAUUUCUUUGGUCCAAUAUUCAAUAAAUUUCUGGAUCUGUGAUGGUAAUGCUCAGUUUUACUGUCAUCACCUAUAUUCCAAUCGACUGUAACCAUUAGUACUCUACCCAGGAAUUUUGUUUCAAUCACUUUCACCUCUUAACACCCGAAAGGAAUAAGGCUUCAAGUUGAAGUUUUGGCCUUUGCUUAUUACUAAGAUAAAACCAGGACAUCAAAUAGGUUAACAACACACCCAUGACGGUAUAUUAUUGUCUAAGUAGUUUGUAUUAUUGUUUUGAAUCCUGGUUUUAUUAUUCUUCCAUAACCGACAGAGUUAAAGCAUUACUUCUGGAUAUGAGACCUGUGAUCUCCAAGGAUGUUUGUGAUGUAAAUAUACUUAAGCUUCAAGGUCCAUCUCUAAGCAUCUAUGUCCACAUUAAACAUUCUUUGUGUUAUAUAUCUAUGUACAAUUUCUGAUGUAUAAUAAACUUAUUCUGUUACAGCUUA